UACGUAGGGUGCGAGCGUUAAUCGGAAUUACUGGGCGUAAAGCGUGCGCAGGCGGUUUUGUAAGCCAGAUGUGAAAUCCCCGAGCUUAACUUGGGAACUGCAUUUGGGACUGCAAGGCUAGAGUACGGCAGAGGGGGGUAGAAUUCCUGGUGUAGCGGUGAAAUGCGUAGAUAUCUGGAGGAACACCGGUGGCGAAGGCGGCAUCCUGGACCGGUAUUGACGCUGAGGCGCGAAAGCCAGGGGAGCAAACGGG
rnacentral:rRNA from 1 species